rnacentral:rRNA from 1 species
UACAGAGGUCUCAAGCGUUGUUCGGAUUCAUUGGGCGUAAAGGGUGCGUAGGCUGUGAGGUAAGUCUGGUGUGAAAUCCCGGGGCUCAACCCCGGAACUGCACUGGAUACUGCUUUACUAGAGCACUGGAGAGGGAACUGGAAUUUACGGUGUAGCAGUGAAAUGCGUAGAGAUCGUAAGGAAGACCAGUGGCGAAGGCGGCAUCCUGGACCGGUAUUGACGCUGAGGCGCGAAAGCUAGGGUAGCAAACGGG